AUGUCAAAUCAUCAUGCCCCUUAUGUCUUGGGCUACACACGUGCUACAAUGGGGCAUACAGCGUGAGGCGAAGCCGCGAGGCGGAGCGGACCACGAAAGUGUCCCCCAGUUCGGAUUGCAGGCUGCAACCCGCCUGCAUGAAGUUGGAAUCGCUAGUAAUCGCGAAUCAGCAUGUCGCGGUGAAUACGUUCCCGGGCCUU
rnacentral:rRNA from 1 species